AAGACUAUACUUUCAGGGAUCAUUUCUAUAGUAUGAUACUAGAGGAUAUAUCCCCAGGAGAGGAAUUGCAGGGUCAUAGGGUAGGUCCAUUUCUAGCCUUCUGA
rnacentral:snoRNA from 1 species